UUUUGUCAUUUGAAGAAUAUUAUAUAAAUGCAAUUGUGCAGCCCCCUUUUAAACCUAUAGCUCCACACUCACACACAUAUAUAUGGAAGUCUAAUUGGAUGCAUUUAUGAAUUUUCUGGACCAUCAAAUGGCAGGAGUUCUAUAGCUUGAUUUUCCCCAGUUAUUUUCUUCUGAGCUCUUUGCUGGCCUGUAUAGGAUGUCAGUCAGCACUUUCUUCUUCCUCAUCUUCUUUACCCAGGCAGCACUGGGGACUAGGAGAAAUGUUUCUUCUCUGGUGAGUGGAUUGAAACUUUGUUGCCACCACACUCCUCCGUGGUCAGCCUAUGCUUACGGCAGCAGAAACUCAACUUGCAUUUCCAACAUGCAGAAGAGUUGCAAAUCUUAAGAAAUGAAAGAUCACAAAAUUCCCAAGGACUAUUGAUAGAUAAAUGCAUAAUGUGCCAGCAAUAGAAUCACACGAUCUUGGAGUCAUAUGGGAAUGUGAAUACCAUUUUGCCCCUCCUCUCCCCCUUGUGAAGGAUGCACUCACACGGAUCCAGCCCUCAAAGGAAUCAAAGGCUACUCCCUGCCUACUUCACCAUCACCCAAGCCACGCUCAUUCCAAUGAUCCUGGGAACACAGCCACCCACAUGGGAAUGGAAUGAAGACUAAAGAUAGAAGGAUGAGCCAGUAUCUGUUAUAGAUGGAUAACGUGGUGUAGUGGAAACAGCACUGGGUCAGGUGGAACACCUGUCUCAGCAUGGAUUGAUAAGCAGUGUGUAGGUCUGUGCCCAAGAUCUGAAUUGGUGAACCCGGGCCGCCGAAGAGGAGCUCAUGAACUUAAUCGCUGUGCCAUCAGGCCAGCCCCUGAAGUUACUUUUUGAUGCACCAUCAAUGGUUUAUCUUUUACCUAUACUCUUCCUAAAUAAAAAAUAAUUAACUAUUUACUCCAAGUUAAUUUCUAAGAAAUGGAUCGAAAACCAAGUCUGGACCUUGGUGAUUCCAGAAUUAUCUGGAAAAAUAACCUUCUCUCUUUUAUUAGCAGUUUACUUUUCCAAUAGAAAUGCUAAGACCUGGAAACAUUUUCUAAGUAUCAGUUACUCGAAGGACAGACAGAUGGCUCAGUUCCUAAGGAGAGUGGAAUAGACAAUGCUCAUGGAUAAUGAAAUGGUACAUUCCCUGUGCUUCAAUAAAAAUCUU